UGAGGAAUAUUGGACAAUGGGCGCAAGCCUGAUCCAGCCAUGCCGCGUGCAGGAAGAAGCAUCUAUGGUGUGUAAACUGCUUUUGUACGGGAAGAAACACUCCUACGUGUAGGAGCUUGACGGUACCGUAAGAAUAAGGAUCGGCUAACUCCGUGCCAGCAGCCGCGGUAAUACGGAGGAUCCACGCGUUAUCCGGAAUCAUUGGGUUUAAAGGGUCCGUAGGCGGUUUAAUAAGUCAGUGGUGAAAGCCCAUCGCUCAACGAUGGAACGGCCAUUGAUACUGCUAGACUUGAAUUAUUAGGAAGCAACUAGAAUAUGUAGUGUAGCGGUGAAAUGCUUAGAUAUUACAUGGAAUACCAAUUGCGAAGGCAGGUUACUACUUGUGGAUUGACGCUGAUGGACGAAAGCGUGGGGAGCGAACA
rnacentral:rRNA from 1 species